rnacentral:lncRNA from 1 species
UUUGAUUAAGAUUAGAUUAGGAUUAGGAUUUGGUUAGAAUUUAAGGUUCUAUUAGAUUUUUGUUAGAGUUUGAUUAAGUUUUUUUUAAUAUUCUUUUAUAUUUCUUUAGGAUUUCCUUAUGUUUCUUUUAUAACUUCAAUAAAAUUUAAUUGACCUUGCUUAAUAUUUGAUUAUAAUUGUUAAUAUUUAAUUAUAAAUUCUCUAUAAUUCUAUUGGAUUGUUAAUACCUUUUGUUGUAAUUUUCUUUUACCUUCCACAACCAGGUGCUCGGUGCAUUCUCAAGCAAGACUUUACAUAAUACGACAUAUUUGGUGAACCCGAUGUGAAAAACUUGAGGUGGGAGGUAUUUGGAGUUUCUUUGAUCUAUUUGAGUUAUGGAGAAGGAAGGAAAGAGAAUGGAAGGAGGAGCUUUUGGUGGUGCUUCAAGUAGAGUUGGAAGUGGAGCUUCAAUUGAAAGACAAGGUAUGUAUUUUGAUCUCAACUUUGUAAGCAUGUU